UCUCCUACCCCCUUCUGAUGUCUAUGUCAGAAGCUUUCUCUGUCCUGUCACUUUAAAUAAACUUUUGCACACAAAGCUCUGAGUGACUGAGACCUACCUUUCGUCCCAGAGUUAAAUCUUCUCCUUCAGAGACCACGAAUCCAAUGGCGCUGUUCACCGUAAGCUAUCAUGUUGGGAGCUCAUCGGGGAUCUUCAAGACAAGCCAUACCCCCAUCCAAGUUUUACAGGACACUGCAGUCAGGAACACAUUAGAGAGCUAGCUGGAGCUGGAGCUCCAGGGACAUCUCUCAGACUGGAAAUCAUCAUCCUGACCCGAGAGACCCAGAAGCAAGUUCUUGUCACGGCUAUGCCUCCGGAUUGUACGGAUGGAGACAUUGCUGAUGGGAGCUUGCAGUUCCAGAACCACUCCUUUGAGUUGUAUCUUGAAAACCUGAGAUAAGUUUGAUCCCCAGAGCCUAAAAAGUCCCAUACAUAGUCUUUCUUUGCUUUAAAAGAAGACCUUACCUGCUCAGAGAGGACAAUCUCUGCUGGGACAACUUUUAUCACUCUGUAUACCCCUGUCAUCAGAGCCAGUUCGAACACUCUCUGGUUUAAAAUUUUUAUCUAUGAAACUAUGACUACAAAAAGGAGAGAUGACAUUUUUUGACACUGAAUGGCCGUGACAUUCUUUAGACUUCAGAGAAAACUGGUUAAAAUGAAAUCUUUUUGAAACUGCAAAACUGGCCCUUUUUGCACAAUUUCCUUGUGAAAUUAGGAAAAAGCUGGCUCAUUGAAAUACUUUUUUGGAGCUCUAAUUCUGCUUGAGAAACAAAGACAUGCCUGGGAAAAAAAUCUGAAGUUAACUCUUAUCAUGUCCUUGAGAUACACAGCCACUCUGUCUGCAACUCCCACCAUGAGCAAACUGGUAGAACUUCAAGCCAAGGGAAACAAAAAAAGGGCAAAGAGACAUUUUAAAUUUCAAGUGGAAAACGAAAUUGGAGACAUUUGGGUUCUGAACAGCCUCAUCAAAGUUAAAAAAAACUGUCUCCAGACAUAUACAGAAAUCUCAGAGUAUACUGGGGAGCUCUAAAAGAGAAAUCCACCGAACUGAUGUCAGGCCUACGCCAUCUAAUAUGUUUCACUGAAUAUUAAGUUCCAGUUUUGCUAUUAAGGUCUGUAUUUACUAAGGCUCACUUCUUAGAUAGUUCCUUGUGGUUAUGUUACAUUGCUAAGAUGUUUAAUUAAGUUAUUAAAAAGGAUGCUCUGAGUUUGUUUAUAAUGCUUAUCUCAAUAACAAGUCUUUGAAUAAAGAUCAGAUGCUCCAGGAUCUACAACCAGGAGAUUAACAGCAGGCUACAGUCAUUUAACAAACAGUCAGAUGACCUGGAGAUGUCACUGGGCUAUACCUAAUGGAAGUUCUUGACUUAAGUUCUUAUGAUUUUAUCAUUACUGCUAACUAUAGUGUUUUCUAAAUUGCCUGUUUCAAGAAGUGUUGUCCAUUACAUUAUCAAUUAUGUGACUGAGCCACUGAUAUGAUGAUAGUGUACAGUUCCUUAUGAAAUCCAUAGUUAUAAUGGUAUGACUCUAUAUAUAAGAAGCAGCAACAAGAGGGAAUAUUUUCCUGGACCAAGAGACUAGUGAUACAGAUGUGGUCCAGAAACUUUUGCUACUCACAGGUCCUAGUCCAAUAACAGGACAUUGAGUGGUCUAUCAGUGAAAUCUUCGACAGACCUGGGAAUGAGCCUUCCCAGCACCGUGGGACAUGAUGGUCAUGAAAUGCCCCCCAAACCAUGGUCAAACUCAUGGCAAUAAAGGGGCCCUGCUCUGGUAACUUGCACUUCCUGCCUGUCUUUACAAAGAUUUAACUCAUGGACACUGCAGAUGCUGACCUUCAACAUUCCCUGAAAGGAGUUUAGGGUGAAAAUCAGAAAUUAGACACUCACUCUGUGCUCUGGAAAAAAAAAAAAAAGGGACAAACAGGCCUUUGGACAGUUAGAUAUUUUCAGGUAAAAAUUGUCUUGAGUCCUAAUUCUUGCAUCUUCUCAUAUCUAGAAAAACACUAAAAUUGUUAAUGGUGACAACUACAUUAGCUUAUAUAUUAAUACCACAAUAAGAGGUUAAAGCCUACUUAGACAAACAGACAACUGACUACCUGUCUAUAAGUUUCUCUAGAACAGCUGUCUAUAUUGGGGUUCAGACUCAUUCUUCCAAAAAGAAAUGGUAAUGUUUAUUUUGUCUGUUAAGGUUCAGGUUGUCACUAUUUCAACUACUUCUAACUAAGUUUGUUAUACCCACAUUCAAAAUGUAUAUAAACAUACCAAAUGGCCCCCUUUUUAUAAAUAGGGAAGCCCACGUGUUGACUCUGUCUAGAUCAGAAUCAAAGUUACUACCAAAUGUGACCUGAUUCUUAGUCUUGGUUGGACCCCUGACUGUAAUAAUUCUUUUACUGAUUUUUGGUCUCUGCACUUUUAAGCUGUUUGUUUAGUUUGUUUUUUCUAAAGGAUACAACGGCUUCCCAGACAAAGUAAUGGUGAUGCAGAGAGUCUGGUCGCUCUUCAAAAUGGACUCCCCUGAUAUUCCACUCUGGUCACAGACACAAUCUUGGUUUAUAAGCUCUCCUUGGUGGAAAACUAUCUUGACUUUGAUAACUGCAAUCAUAUUAUUUUUGCUGUUUGCUCCUAUGUCUGUAACUGUAUAAUGAAUUUUGUAUCUAAGAGGCUUGAGGCAUUUAAGUUACAAAUGAUUGUUCAAGCUCCUAUGAUUGCCACAGGCUCUUCCAACUAUUACCUGGGGACCCUGGAUCAGAGAUCCUUAGUACAAGGGUAAGGAGAAUAUGAUGCCUCAACAAUUUAGGGUCUGCGCCCAUUGCCAGCAGGAAGUUACAGAAAGAUUUCUCCGCCCACUUCCCUGGCAACCAUAUUCUUCCUAAAAGAAAAAGGGUGGAAUCAAAGAGCUAAAGCUUAGGCAGGCAGUCCAAGGCCCUUUAAGGAGGAGGUGAACAUUCUCUCUCAUCUUUUCUUUAAGCCUUGUGCAACAAUGUAUCUUACCUAAGAACUGGCCUUUCUUUAGGUCCAGAACUAAUGAUCACACAGCUUAAUGUCUUACUCAUGGAAAUGCUUUUCUUAGGCUCUAUGUUAAUGAGUAUAAUUGUAACAAAUCUUGCCUGGGAACCUGUUUCUUAAGACUUGUACCCCUGAUUACACAGCAACAGUUUAUCUACCCCAGAGAUGUUGCCUGGAACCUGUUCUCCCAGGCUAAUCUUGUGCCAAAGCUAUCUCAGGAUGUGUGCCUUGGGAAAGGGUCUGGUGGAACUCUUACAACCUUGAAGUAUUCUUUUUAUCUAUUUUCAGCAGAUAAUUGAAAACUAUAUAGGGCCCACUUGAAUUAGUGAAGCGGGUACUCUCCUACCCCAUUCUGAUGUCUAUGUCAGAGGCUUUCUCUGUCCUGUCACUUUAAAUAAACUUUUUCACACAAAA